rnacentral:piRNA from 1 species
UCGAUGGCAAAAGAAUUCCCAAGGAGG